GCAGGGUGAAGGUGCAGUAACAUGCACUGGAGGCCCGAACCGUUGAGCGUUGAAAAGCUCUCGGAUGACCUGUGCCUAGGGGUGAAAGGCCAAUCAAACUUGCUGAUAGCUGGUUCUCCUCGAAAUCUAUUUAGGUAGAGCGUCGAUCGAAUACUCUUGGGGGUAGAGCACUGACUGGGCUAGGGGUCCUCACCGGAUUACCAAACCUUAUCAAACUCCGAAUACCAAGAAGUACUAAUCGGCAGACACACGGCGGGUGCUAACGUCCGUCGUGAAAAGGGAAACAACCCAGACCGCCAAUUAAGGCCCCCAAGUAAUAGCUAAGUGCGAAACGAUGUGGAGGUGCUGAGACAAUCAGGAGGUUGGCUUAGAAGCAGC
rnacentral:rRNA from 1 species